CAAAAGGGUGAAUAUCGGUAAGAGAUUCAGUGAAGGGAUUGGGAUGAUCAUAAAGCCUUCCAUCAUCCAAGAUGAAUGAACUACAUACCGAAUAUGUUUUCCCAGCUCGAAGAUGACAAGGGGUGGUUAGAGCUAUUUGAAAAUCUAACUGAGGAUCAAGUACAAAAGAUGUUCGGGUGGUUCCCUACAGAAGAAUUCAUCGCCCAAUCUA
rnacentral:lncRNA from 1 species